rnacentral:rRNA from 1 species
AACGAACGUUAGCGGCGCGCCUAACACAUGCAAGUCGCACGAGAAAGGGCUUCGGCCCCGGUAAAGUGGCGCACGGGUGAGUAACACGUAGGCAAUCUGCCCUAAAGUGGUGGAUAACCCUCCGAAAGGAGGGCUAAUACAGCAUGAGACCACGGCAUCCACGGAUGCUGCGGCCAAAGUAGGCCUCUCCACGGAAGCUUACGCUAUAGGAUGAGCCUGCGGCCCAUCAGCUUGUUGGCGAGGUAAUGGCUCACCAAGGCUUAGACGGGUAGCUGGUCUGAGAGGACGACCAGCCACACUGGGACUGAGACACGGCCCAGACUCCUACGGGAGGCUG